UGAUGAUGAUGAGUAUCAGUGGUUACAUGAGGGAAAUUCAUGAGGGGCUUUUCACAGGGGGCUACCACGAGGGCAUCCAGCAGGAAACUCUUUCUCCGGCUGACCAC
rnacentral:snoRNA from 1 species